rnacentral:rRNA from 1 species
AUUGAACGCUGGCGGCGUGCUUAACACAUGCAAGUCGUGCGGUAACAGGCGUAGCAAUACGUGCUGACGAGCGGCGAACGGGUGCGUAAUACAUGGGAAUCUGCCCUUUAGUGGGGAAUAACCCGGCGAAAGCCGGGCUAAUGCCGCAUAAGAUCUUCGGAUGAAAGCGGGGGAUCGUAAGACCUCGCGCUGAUGGAUGAGCCCAUGUCGGAUUAGCUAGNGGUGAGGUAACGGCUCGCCAAGGCGACGAUCCGUAGCUGGUCUGAGAGGACGGCCAGCCACACUGGGACUGAGACACGGCCCAGACUCCUACGGGAGGCAGCAGUGGGAAUAUUGGACAAUGGGCGAAAGCCUGAUCCAGCGACGCCGCGUGUGUGAAGAAGGCCUGCGGGUUGUAAAGCACUUUCGA